GAAGACCUUAGGCUAGUACCAAAUAAAACUAGCAUGUGUAUGUACUAAGACCUAAGUUUUUUCAGGCCUAGAAGAUACCUAUGACCACCAAAACCAAUCAACCAGUGCUCAGCACAUGUGAGAAUACUAGGAGAGAUAGCCAGGGAAAAAUUCUGUGGAAGUGGAAUGUAUUUGCAAAGUUUAGGUAAUGUAAGCCUAUUAAAAGUCUGAAAGAAAAAAAGAGAAAGAAAAAUAGAGAGGGAGGGAGGGGAGGGAGGAAGGGAGGAAGAAGGAGGAAGGGAAGAAGGGAGGGAGAAGGAGAGGGAGAGAAGGAAGGAAGGAAGGAAGGAAGGAAGGAAGGAAGGAAGGAAGGAAGGAAGGAAGGAAGGAAGGAAAGAAGGGAGAAAGGAAGGAAGGAUCUUGCAGGAUUUUUUGAAAGGUUUUUCACUGAACUGUAACACAAUCUUCUGUUAAAGGGCAAAGGACUUAAAUCUCUGCUAAGAUUGUCAGAGCUACCCAGCUGGGUUAAAGGCAGGCUUGCUACUAAGUUUUAUGAUAAACCCGAAUAAGAUGAUGGCCUGC